rnacentral:lncRNA from 1 species
UUUAGUUCUAAUAUUGAAAAUUAUACAGAAACUUACAUUUUAAAAUAACAAACUGUAAAAAAUAGCAAAACAGCAACAAUUUGAUUAUGCUAUUCCUUCUCUUACAAUGUUGCUUUGAACAUGUCCACUAUUUUGAUAUUCUAUUUUGAAUGACCUCCAGGUUAUCACACUGAAGAGAUGGUGUCCCAAAGUGAAUUUAUGGCCCAGGAUGGAGUGUUUCUCUCUCUUGCCUUGUCCUAGACAGUCUUCUUCUACAGAUGCAGUCAAAUAGCUCGCAUUUAAAGACCAGUGUUCGACUUUGUGUACCUGUGACCUUGGAUUCUCCAGGCCUCACCUGUCUUUCAUGCCCUCAGUUAUCUGCUGGAUCCUGGAAUCAGAAGAAUGGCCAUAUCCAGGGCAUAAAAUCCCACUUUCUCAGUAGCUGCCCAAGGACUCAGGUGGCCCAGCCCAGAGGUUCAGGGGAGCUGACAUCCUGCAAGACAAACUGUGACUCAUGGGGCCCAAGAGCCUGGGGAGAGCCAGGAAGCACACCUUUCUCCAUUCUUCCUGUUGAAUACCUCCCAGGUGUGGUGUUACUGUACCUUUUACCCAGAGAUGUCCCAUGGGAUGCCCAGAACCAUGGUGAGUCUCUGGGAAGCGGUGGUCAGCUGGGUAAUGCCCACUUUGUAUUUCUCCUUCCUCUCUUGUCAAUGCCCUGUUCCUUCAUCCUGGCUUCUCUGGGAUUGAAAUAGUAUGCAAACAUUGCCUCAGACUCUAUUUUCUAGAGUCUAGCCUAAGCCAGGCCCUACUCCCUUUUGUAUCUCUGGUUCCUAGAACAACACUUUACGGAGAGUUAGUGCUCAGUGCCUGUUUAUUGACUUGAAGAAUAAAAGAAUAACUGAUCAUCUGAAUGCCAAAAUGAAUUAAUGAAUGAGUCUUGUGUUCACGCCAGUAUUUCCACUGGACAAAAUUCUGAAUUUCUGAAGAGCCUCAGUCUCUCUGAUUGUAACAAACUAAAGGAAAGCAACACAGGGAAAGAAGAGAGGAAGAGAAAAGGUGGCAGGAAGAGAAAGAAUCCAAAAGAAAAACUGCCUCGCAAUCCCAAUCUGUUCCAAUUGCCUUAUUUGCUGAGUUUCACUUUGGGCCAAAACAGUACUAGUUUAGCAAAAGGGAGGCCAAGGCUGGAAUCACUUUUAAGAACUGAGGGCACAUGGAAGAUCUCUGAUACAAUGAAUGGUGGAUUAUUUUUAAUCUGGAAAAAUGUCAAAAGCAUGAGAAGCUCAAUGCCAACCACCCAACUUCAUGCAAACCUUUAAUUAGUUAUAAUACUUGGAAGCCUUUCCUGGGAUGCUGUUUCAUUGCCAGUGAACUCACCAUGCUCAGUGCCUGGCAACCAUCUGGUGCUGAAGUCACUGGGUUGGGAGCUGUAAGCCAGGCCUCGAGUCACUGCCUCGCCUCCCAUUCCUUGUGUGACCCUGGUGUGUCUCUUCCCUUCAAGACCUCUGCUGCCCAUUGUGCAAAGUGAGGACAAGAAGUUCUAACCUUCCCUCAGUCUAUGGCUGACAGUGAAGCAUCUAAAUCACCCACAUGUUGGUCUGUGGAACACCUUCAUUAUUUUGAGAGACUGUAAUAUGAUGGGAUUUCAGUUUACUUAACAUAGUCUUGAGAGGGAUUUCUGAGCAGCCCUGCUGUGCCUGCAGACCAAGGGAAGAGACAAAAGGAGUCCAAUACAAAGGCCGGGUGGUCAACAGGGCUUGAGACUCCAGAGUGUGUGAGAGACAAGAGAUAUUUGGGCCUCCAGACCACACUCUAGUUGCCCUGGAAUAAAUGGAGCGGUCCUAGCUGCCAUCCAAGGCAGCCAGCAUGUGUAUCUUGUUCAAUGUCAGGCUCAUCGAAGCUGGCCUUGGAGUGAGCAUUUCUCCAUUUUCUCUAUGAAACCAGAGUUGGUCGAAGCAUUCAGGGCAUGGGCCCCUGCAUUGUGCACGUGAGACUUCCCUGUUGUUCCUAGAAUCUGCUGCAACCUUUGAGAUGAUAACAUCCAAAAUGUUUUUGCCCCUUACACUGCCUUUUUUGAAAUUUCAAUGAUUAUUUUUUUAGCUGAAAGACAGAAUGACCCAUUGCUGACGUGGUGGUUUUGGUGUGUUCUCAUUAGGGAAGUGGUACAACCUCUGAAGACUCACAUCAUUUCACAGUCUGAGCCUUGAGUGGUCUUCCCUGCUCAGUGGAGAAGAUAUUGCUGGAAGCUGACAUACUUCUUUAUCUCCAGCACAUUUCACUCCUGCAAAUUGGCUUCCUUAUGUUGUCAUCAGAAAUGACCAUUCUCAAUUUUUUUCUGGGCAUUCUCUUCACCUGGAAUGUCUUCCCUGAUGGACCAAGAGAUUUAUCGAAAAUCACCAAAAACUGUCAUCAGAAUCAGCAUGGCUUUCAGUCAAAGACCCAUCUGGCAGGGCACCCUGCCUCUCCUCCAGGCUCCCACUCCUCCCGUCAGAUGACACCUACCAACAACUGAUCACUCCACCACCUUGGCCUUGAGAUUCGUGGGACUCAGGCCCCGCCCUUAGAGGCUGCUAUGCUGACUCUGUACUCUGUGCUUCUCUGAGGUUAUUUGGUGACUGAUAGCAUCAACUUCAUGUCCACAGGCUUGUUGAGUUCACACCUAGGGUGCCUGGCUCUCAUUGUGUUUGCUGUAAUAAAUAAUCACUGGGUUCUUACUGUAUCCAGCUCUGUUUUGGGAAAUGAGGAAACAGAUCAUGCUAAGACUGGACCAUAUCUUCAAGGAGCUCAGAGUCUACAACACCUCUAUAUGCAGUGGGGCAUGCAUAGGAGAAAAAGAAAUAUUCUGUAAGGACAAAGAAAACAAUUUCAUUACGGCACUGAAGAUUUUGAUCUCUCAAAAACACUCCAUUAAAGCAAGGUAUAAUUAUUUGGAGUCUAAAAUAAUUUGAUAUCAUAGAGAAAUAUUAUGCAGCAAAGAUGGGCAACUGGCAGAGGAAUGCAUACAGAUGUGUACCAAGAAACAUCAUAUGUCUCUACUGCAUGUGGUGCAACAUUUUAAUCAAGUCAAAGACUCUCAUGCUUGGGUUAGAAUCUGUAGGCAUCCACACCUGUGAACGUGACUUGUCAUGGUCUCAACCGAAAGGAUAGUGGCCCAGGCCUGCCUGGGGAUGCACUUUUUGGGUGAUGGUAAAUGUGCUUUUUGUGCGAGCAGAUAGCAGCCUUGCCCUCUGUGUGUGCGUACCUCAGAGUUCUCUCUCCAGAGGACUGGAACUUGCGGGGCAUAUGAGAAGACCCAGGCUCUCAGAGCAGCAGCAGCUGUCCUGGGCUCUGAGCAGAGAUUAGCGAGGCUCAGGCUGCAUUCCACAGCCUCCACCCCCUGUACUUCUGGCAGGGCGCAGUCCUACCUUUCAAACACACACACACACACUCAACUGCAGGUGAGGAACUGACAUUGCCCUGGGAGUUUCUGUCUUUGCAGAGGAAUAUUUUGAAAACUUCCACUCUUGCUUUCUCCACACUCCCAUCCAGCGUGCCUGGCUUCUUCUGCACUGUGCAUAUUCUGGCUCUUUGCCAGAGGCCUGGAAAAUCCUGCCAGGCAGCCGUUCACGCAGUUGCCCCCAGGGGCAGUGACUGACCAGGAGUGAGACACACCACUCUCAGCCCAGCUGUCUGCUCAGCGCAGCUCAAAGCACUUGUACCUUGAGGGAGAGAAACCCAAGCCACAAGUCCUGACAGCCUGUCACCUGAGUCCCUUGGAAAACACAAUCAAGAGCUUCCUGCCCAUUCAUGUCCCGAGCUGGCCGGGCUCAGUAGAUGCUGUGCCGCCAGCUCCUGGCUUAGCCGGCCUCCCUGGUGCGUCUGCCCUCAACUCUUUGUGCAGCUGG